UUUGAUCAAUGGAAGGAACAAGAUUAGAGAGUAUGCAAGCGGACACUCACACCACGUUCCACGCUACUACCACGACUCUUAUAAUAGACCAACGCACACAACAUACGGUACGAUGCCAUGACGACGACGACGACGUACGCGCGCUCAGUUGGACCGCAUUUUGUUGAGCUGAUUGAGCGCCGGCUGCAGAAUGUUGUAGAGCACCCAGCCGAGGGCGGGCGCCACCACGAAAAGCAGCAGCAGGCCCCGGUUGUCGUCGGCCGGCGCGACCGCCGCCAGCGCGGCGAGCUCCUGCACGGCGGCGGAGGCCGGCUCCGGCACGGCGGCCAGGCCGGCGGCCGCGGCAGCGCCGAUGCCCAGCCCGGCGACGAGCGCCUUCUCGGACCGCAUCUUGUUGAGCUGGUUCAGCGCCGGCUGGAGGAUGUUGUAGAGCACCCACCCGAGCGCGGGCGCCACCACGAAGAGCAGGAGUAGGCCCCGGUUGUCGUCCGCGGGCGCCGCCGCCGCCACGUCCGCGAUCCGCUGCGACGCCAUCGCCGCGUCCGACGAGGCCAGCGAGGUGAAGAAGGCGCUCGCCAUGGCAGCGGCCGCCGGCGACACGGCCAGGGCUCCCUUCUUGGCCGCGUUCUUCUGCAGGCUGCGCAGCGAGAUGCUCGGCGAC
rnacentral:lncRNA from 1 species